rnacentral:rRNA from 1 species
CCUACGGGAGGCAGCAGUGGGGAAUUUUCCGCAAUGGGCGAAAGCCUGACGGAGCAAUACCGCGUGAGGGAGGAAGGCUCUUGGGUCGUAAACCUCUUUUCUCUGGGAAGAUAAUGACGGUACCAGAGGAAUAAGCAUCGGCUAACUCCGUGCCAGCAGCCGCGGUAAUACGGAGGAUGCAAGCGUCAUCCGGAAUGAUUGGGCGUAAAGAGUCCGUAGGUGGUACAGAAAGUCUGUGGUUAAAGCGCGAAGCUCAACUUCGUAAAGGCCAUGGAAACUGCUGAACUAGAGUGAGAUAGGGGUAGAGGGAAUUCUUGGUGUAGCGGUGAAAUGCGUAGAUAUCAAGAAGAACACCGGUGGCGAAAGCGCUCUACUGGAUCUUAACUGACACUGAGGGACGAAAGCUAGGGGAGCGAAAGGGAUUAGAUACCCCUGUAGUCCUAGCCGUAAACGAUGGAUACUAGUUGUUGCGGGUAUCGACCCCUGCAGUGACGAAGCUAACGCGUUAAGUAUCCCGCCUGGGGAGUACGCACGCAAGUGUGAAACUNAAAGGAUUGACCGGNUGNGAGNGCGAGCGACGACGAGGGAGAGG